rnacentral:misc_RNA from 1 species
GAUGAAGAACGUAGCGAAAUGCGAUAAGUAAUGUGAAUUGCAGAUUUCAGUGAAUCAUCGAAUCUUUGAACGCACAUUGCGCCCGCCAGUAUUCUGGCGGGCAUGCCUGUUCGAGCGUCAUUUCAACCAUCAAGCCCCAGGCUUGUGUUGGGGACCUGCGGCUGCCGCAGGCCCUGAAAACCAGUGGCGGGCUCGCUGUCACACCGGGCGUAGUAGAUUUUAUCUCGCUCAGGGCGUGCUGCGGGUUCCGGCCGUUAAAAAGCCUUUUUUACCCAAGGUUGACCUCGGAUCAGGUAGGAAGACCCGCUGAACUUAAGCAUAUCAAUAAGCGGAGGA